rnacentral:lncRNA from 1 species
CUAAAGGGGAUGACAAUAGAUUUCCUCUAAAAUAUAUGAAAAUCUUUACAACAAUUUGACUAUUGGAAUGAUAAUGCGGAUACUAAGAUGAUUAAAUUAAAACGAUGCUAGGAAUAGUUUUAGAGAAAUGAUAGAUGCAGUGAUAAAAGUUAUCAAUUUUUUUUUAAGAUAGUAUAUUUGCUAACACCUUUUUCUAAUAAGUUUUAACUCUACCGCUUACAACAUCUAGUAAGUUAGCACCAAAUAUUCUUUUUCUUUUUUAAUUUCAUUUUCUCUUUGUUUCUUUUCUUUUGUUUAUUUUUUCUCUAAUUUCUUUUGUUUAUUUUUGUAAUUUCUUUUUCUUUUGUUUGAUUUUAUGUUUCUUUCAUUUAACCUCUUUUAUUUUCCUAGUUUUCUCAUCACAUGCUACCUCGAUACUUUAGAAAAUGUUAGAAGGUAAAUCAUUUUCUUUUAUUUUAUCAUUGAAAAAAUAAAGGCUACACUAUUUUGAACAAUCUGGUAUUUACAACAAUUGUAGCCUAUGGGCCACAAGUUUCAAUCACAGCUAAUGUGCCACAUUUUGUAGUUAACUUUGAUCCAACAACACACUCAAUCACAACUAUUGCAACACCGUUGGUAGUUAAGUUUUAUCAAACAAUACACCAAUGAAUGCAUAAAUGUAUUAUUCAACGAUAUUAUUCUUUUUAGUGAUUUUCCCUUUCAUAUCAUGAAAAGUUAUAAAAUAAUAGAGAUUUUAAUUUAAAAAAAAAAGAUACCUUAUGAUUGAUAAGUUUUUUAUAUAACCUCAUUUCAUGGUGUUCUAAAGGGGAAAACAAAACACAUUGAUGCAACCCUAAAAAAAACACAUUCAUGCACUUAAGAGACAUUUAAUAAUGACUUCAUAAGUGCUAAAAGAAAUUUAAUUGUUCUACGAAAAAGACAAUUUAAUUGAAGUAAGGAGAAGAUGAACUUUAUAAAUUAUAAAGUUAUAAAACCAUUUGUUAUAUGUAAAUAAGGGAAACAUGGAUGAAGUUUUCAAGUUUGUUUAUGUUAUGAUUAUCUUUCUGUUUCUAAUUCUUGACGUAGCAACAUAUGCUGAAAAUAUGUGUACCCUUGGUGUGAUACCGAAGUGAAGGUUCACCAUUUGUAUAUGUUAACCAUUCAGUUGGUAAGGACAAUGCAUAAUAUAUACAAGGAAUCAUGGCAUCCAUGGAAAGAAGGAGAGAAAACUAAUAAACUCUUUGUAUUAUGAAAAAUGGAAUAUUACAGAUGAGUGAAAGUAUCCUACUAAUGGGGUGGUUACAACUAUAUAUACUACUAUAGAACUAAUACUAUUUGUAACUAAAUUAUAUCUCUAAUAAAAACAUAUUUAUCUCAGUAAUCAUCCCAUAAGUCCUAGUUCAACAGACAAAAAUGCCGAAAUUGUUAGGCCGGAUGUCAUGGUCGGGGUUCAAAUCCGAUACCUACACUUUGCGUGUGUGAGUUUAUGAUAACUUUGUCAAUUCGUCUAUCUAAAAAAAAAGAUUUCCCUAGUGAUCAGUCUAAGAAAAAAACAAGUAAUCAGUAUCAAACGUAUAUUCAAGCACUAAUCAAUACCUAAAUUCAAAAAGCUUC